rnacentral:rRNA from 1 species
GACGAACGCUGGCGGCGUGCUUAACACAUGCAAGUCGAACGGUGAAGCGCCUUCCUUUUUGGUGGGUGUGGAUGAGUGGCGAACGGGUGAGUAACACGUGAGUAACCUGCCCCCUUCUUCUGGAUAACCGCAUGAAAGUGUGGCUAAUACGGGAUAUUCUGGGUCUGUCGCAUGAUGGGUCUGGGAAAGAUAUUGUUUCGGUGGGGGAUGGGCUCGCGGCCUAUCAGCUUGUUGGUGGGGUGAUGGCCUACCAAGGCGGUGACGGGUAGCCGGCCUGAGAGGGUGGACGGUCACACGGGGACUGAGACACGGCCCAGACUCCUACGGGAGGCAGCAGUGGGGAAUAUUGCACAAGGGGCGCAAGCCUGAUGCAGCGACGCCGCGUGAGGGAUGGAGGCCUUCGGGUUGUGAACCUCUUUCGCCAGUGAAGCAGGCCUGCCUCGUUUGUGGGUGGGUUGACGGUAGCUGGAUAAGAAGCGCCGGCUAACUACGUG